rnacentral:ncRNA from 2 species
AUCUUUGUUACCAUAAUUGGUGUUAUAUAUUCGAAGUCUUGGAUAUAUAAUGAAAAGGGAAUCAGGUGUAAAUCCUGAACAGUCGCGCUGCUGUAAGCUUCGCUAAACGUUUAUACAAAUCCUCAAAGCCACUGUUUUUCAUAAACGGGAAGGUCGUAUAAAACGGAAGUAAGUCAGAAGACCUGCCAAAAAAAUAAGUUCAUC